rnacentral:rRNA from 1 species
UACAGAGGAGCCAAGCGUUGUCCGGAUUGACUGGGCGUAAAGCGCACGCAGGCGGAUGCGCGCGUGGGGUGUGAAAUCUGGCCGCUUAACGGCCAGGCGCCAUCCCAUACGGCGCGUCUGGAGCUAUGCAGAGGUCGGUGGAAUUGCCGGUGUAGUGGUGAAAUGCGUAGAGAUCGGCAGGAACACCCAGGGGGAAACCAGUCGACUGGGCAUCUACUGACGCUGAGGUGCGAGAGCGUGGGGAGCGAACCGG